GGAGUUGUGGCUCGGUGGUAGAGUGCUUGCCUAGCAUGCAAGAGGCACUAGGUUUGAUCCCCGGCACCA
rnacentral:tRNA from 1 species